UACGUAGGGUGCAAGCGUUGUCCGGAAUUAUUGGGCGUAAAGAGCUCGUAGGCGGUUUGUCGCGUCUGCUGUGAAAACUGGAGGCUCAACCUCCAGCCUGCAGUGGGUACGGGCAGACUAGAGUGCGGUAGGGGAGAUUGGAAUUCCUGGUGUAGCGGUGGAAUGCGCAGAUAUCAGGAGGAACACCGGUGGCGAAGGCGGGUCUCUGGGCCACUACUGACGCUGAGAAGCGAAAGCAUGGGGAGCGAACAGG
rnacentral:rRNA from 1 species